rnacentral:rRNA from 1 species
CGUACACUCCUACGGGAGGCAGCAGUGGGGAAUAUUGGACAAUGGGCGCAAGCCUGAUCCAGCCAUGCCGCGUGAGUGAUGAAGGCCCUAGGGUUGUAAAGCUCUUUCACCGGUGAAGAUAAUGACGGUAACCGGAGAAGAAGCCCCGGCUAACUUCGUGCCAGCAGCCGCGGUAAUACGAAGGGGGCUAGCGUUGUUCGGAUUUACUGGGCGUAAAGCGCACGUAGGCGGACUAUUAAGUCAGGGGUGAAAUCCCGGGGCUCAACCCCGGAACUGCCUUUGAUACUGGUAGUCUUGAGUUCGAGAGAGGUGAGUGGAAUUCCGAGUGUAGAGGUGAAAUUCGUAGAUAUUCGGAGGAACACCAGUGGCGAAGGCGGCUCACUGGCUCGAUACUGACGCUGAGGUGCGAAAGCGUGGGGAGCAAACAGGAUUAGAAACCCGUGUAGUCCC